AAUAAAGCUCUGCUAAGGGAACAUGAAGGCUGCAAAGGCACGCUUUCAGUAGAGGGAGGAGAUUCCAGGAUUAACACGAGUCACCAAUGGACACAUACUGAUGGUGCUGGGACAACCAAGAAGUUGCACUUCAUCUUGGCUAGAAGCAAGCUGGGAGCCUUGCAGUCACAAUCCAAGGCAUUUGUGCCCUGGUGGUCCUGCCUGUUUUCAGGCACCCCAGAUGUGAUCCUAGGCCAGAGAAGUGAGGAGCAUCUCUCAGCAGUCGAAGCAGGCUCUGCAGCUGAUCCACUGCACAUGGAGCUGUGGCCAGUGCAAAUUCAGAGUACAGAGCCUUUCUUGAGUGUGUAUUUUAAAUGUGUGGAGAGGAAAAAGCUACCUAGAGGGAGAGCCUGA
rnacentral:lncRNA from 1 species